GACGAACGCUGGCGGCGUGCUUAACACAUGCAAGUCGAACGGCAACGCCCUGCUUUUGUGGUGUUCUCGAGUGGCGAACGGGGGAGUAACACGUGAGUAACCUGCCCUUGACUUUGGGAUAACUUCAGGAAACUGGGGCUACUACCGUAUCGGAUCCCCUGCUGCAUGGUGGGGGUUGGAAAGUUGCGGCGGGUGGGGAUGGACGCGCGGCUGAUCAGCUUGUUGGUGGGGUAGUGGCUUACCCAGGCUUUGACGGGUAGGCGGCAUGGGAGGGUGACCGGCCACCAUGGGACUGAGAUACGGCCCAGACUCCUACGGGAGGCAGCAGUGGGGAGUAUUGCACAAUGGGCGGAAGCCUGAUGAAGCAACGCCGCGUGCGGGAUGACGGCCUUCGGGUUGUAAACCGCUUUCGCCUGUGACGAAGCGUGAGUGACGGUAAUGGGUAAAGAAGCACCGGCUAACUACGUG
rnacentral:rRNA from 1 species